rnacentral:lncRNA from 1 species
UUCUCCCCCCCUCUCUCUCUCUCUCUCUCUCUCUUUCUCUCUCUCUCUUUUUAGUAGUACAUGUAUCUAAUGCAUGGAUCAAACUAUACAUAUACAACAUGCAUAUUCCCAAAUUUUCUACUAUUCAAAAGUUGUAUUCAAAUUUCAUGUCCCUUUUUUUCUCUUUUUACUUCGACACAUCCGACAUUUCUUUUUCCUCUUUUAAGAUACUUGUCUCCAUUUAACAUUCCACCCCUCCAUUUUUAAAUGCUGGUAGGUCACAACGAACACGCACACUUGCUCAAGUCUCAAAUAUAGAAAAAUGUACCUACCAAUUAAGAAUCUAAGUAUCGAUUAGUACAGAAGGUAUCCACCAUACUAUAUCGUGCUAACAAAAUAUCAGUAUGAUACAGUUUUCGUACUAGUGGUACGUAUAAUCCAAAAUCCUUUUCUUUUUUAAAUUCAUAUGCAAUUCUCUCAAUAAAAUUCAAAAGAUUUUAUGGAGAUGCAUAACCAAUUAGAAUAUUUUAUUGUUAAAGAAAAUAAAUAUUUCAUGCCACUAUGUGUUGGCACAAAUGUAUAUUUUGUGACCGGCAUGCAUCGGCACGACUUGGUACGCACCGCAAAAGCAAAUUUAGAAAAUAAAUUUUCAGCACGAUUUCGUGCUACCAUACUUAAAUUCUUACUUCCAAUGAUUGUGAAUUUCUAUUUAGAUAAAAAGCAAU